ACUCAAAUUUAAAAAAUAAUAAUCGUCGUUGGUCUCCCUUUCUCUCAAGCAGACGACAUCCCAAUCUCUUAAGCAGUAUUUUGGAGGAAUUAAACUUGGAGUUGGUGGACUGGCUAGGGCUUAUGGAGGAGUUGCAUCGGAAUGCUUGAGAAAUGCCCCAACUUGUCUUGUGAAAUCCAAGGUUAAGAAUAUAAUGUCUUUGUAUGGACAUAUAUGGAAUAAGUGGAGACAUCCUAUCUUUGACAAGUUGAACUUAAUGUUUGUGUACUAAUCUCUUACUUAAGUGUAUACAGUAACAAUCUUCUUAAGUUGAAGAUAUCAAGCAAGAUUAUGAUAUUGGUAAAGAUGGCAUCAGUAUGCUAAAGACAUGGCCUUAUUUUAGACAUGUCAAGACAUUUUAAUGCUAUUGAACGAUCAUGAAAGUGGCUCUUUCAGAAGAAAGGAGGACACUCCACUUCUAUAAACCAAUUAGAUGGUUAGAUUUGUGUUUAUUAUUAUUGAGAUUGUAACUUUAAUAUUAUUACAAUAUGUUUAUGGUUGUAUUGUUGGGAUUGUAACUUUGGACUUAUGAUAA